GAUGAACGCUGGCGGCGUGCCUAAUACAUGCAAGUCGAGCGAACAGAUGAGGAGCUUGCUCCUCUGACGUUAGCGGCGGACGGGUGAGUAACACGUGGAUAACCUACCUAUAAGACUGGGAUAACUUCGGGAAACCGGAGCUAAUACCGGAUAAUAUAUUGGACCGCAUGGUUCAAUAGUGAAAGACGGUUUUGCUGUCACUUAUAGAUGGAUCCGCGCCGCAUUAGCUAGUUGGUAAGGUAACGGCUUACCAAGGCAACGAUGCGUAGCCGACCUGAGAGGGUGAUCGGCCACACUGGAACUGAGACACGGUCCAGACUCCUACGGGAGGCAGCAGUAGGGAAUCUUCCGCAAUGGGCGAAAGCCUGACGGAGCAACGCCGCGUGAGUGAUGAAGGUCUUCGGAUCGUAAAACUCUGUUAUUAGGGAAGAACAAAUGUGUAAGUAACUAUGCACGUCUUGACGGUACCUAAUCAGAAAGCCACGGCUAACUACGU
rnacentral:rRNA from 1 species